ACUAACGAGAGGAGGAAACUAAGGCUCAAAAAGUAGAGAAGCAUCCCCAAAGUCGUACAACCAGUGAGAGACAGAGGUAGAAUUCCAUCCUGGUUCUACUCUAGAAGCUUGAACUCUCAGUUGUAUUGGCCUCUUUGGAUGAUGGGCCUUCCCAGAAAGAUUAACUCCUCCAGUUUCCAUGUUUCCUAGAGUUUGAGUGAGAGCCUUCUAUGCACCAGGCUGCAUAUCCAAGACUGGUUCAAGGAUCAGGAAAAGUUAAAAAUGGAUAAAAAGGAAGGCGAGCCUGGUAACAUAGCAGUUAAGUUUGCAUGCUCUGCUUCCACGGCCUGGGGUUUGCCAUUUGUGAUCCCAGAUGUAGACCUACACACUGCUCAUCAAACCAUGCUGUGGUGGCAUCCCACAUACAAAAUAGAAGACUGGCACAGAUGUUAGCUCAGUGACAAUCUUCCUCAAGCAAAAUGCUGAAGCUUGGCAACAGAUGUUAGCUAAUGGCUAAUCUUCUUCACCAAAAAAAAAAAAGAAAAAAAGGAUAAAAACGUACAGCUGAAGACUGACAUUUUGAUGGAAUGAAAAACGAUGGAUUUCUAGGGGAAAGACUGGUUAUAUUAUUUUAUUAUAAUGCAUACACAUGUGUGUAUAAUACACACACAUGAGAUUAUAUAUUUAAGCCAUUAAUGUUUUAGGAUAAAAUGCUCAAAGCAUUUUCUCUCUAUAUUAUAUACAAUAUAUUAAUGCAGAUAUAUGUAUAUAUAGGCAGAUAUCUAGAUAUAGAGAUAGUAACUUUACACCACAAUAAUACUAGCACAGCCAUUUGGGGCUUACAAUAGUGAGCAUUCUAGUACACUAAGUGAAUGAAGCUGAAAUUAAACAGUGUCUCUAACAGAGUGCCUGUUACAUAGUGGAUACUCAGUAAGUAUUAGUUGUAUAAAUAAGUUUUUGCAUCAUUUUCUCCUUUAGUUGGCAUUUAUGGAUUACUUACUAUGUGCUUCACGUGAGCCCUAAAUGCUGCCUGGAAAGCUUUCUGUGUUCUAUCUCAUUUUGCAUACAGCUUUUUCAAAACUUCUUACCUGUCAUCAGACCUGUCCUCUCACUUAGCACUACCACCUCUGAUCAUAGCAUAUAAACUUGCCCACUAACUCACCAAGGAAGGAGGAAAACAAUCUAGUAAUGUUUUAACAGUUUUACUGCGUUAUAGUUAAUAUACCAAAAAAUUCACCCAUUGUAACUCUAAAUUUAGAUAACUUACAGGAAAUAUUUACAGUUGUGCAAACAUCACCACAAUCCAGUUUAAGAACACUUUUGCUAUCGAUAAAAGUUCUCUCAUGCUCAUUUUUUAACAGCUUUAUUGUCUAAUUGUCAUUAUUGUAUUGUAUUAUAACAGCUUUACUGUAUAAUAUAUUGUGUAAUUGUCAUAUAAUAAACUGUAUCUGUACAAUUUGGUGUUUUGACAUAUGUAUACACCUGUGAAACCAUUACCACAAUCAAGAUAAUGAAUAUAUCCAUCACUCCCCAAAAGUUCUUCUAUUAACCGUUUGUUAUCCCUCUUUCUUACCCCUCCCACUGCUCC
ensembl:lncRNA